UACAGAGGGUGCGAGCGUUGUUCGGAAUCAUUGGGCGUAAAGCGCUUGUAGGCGGCUUGUUAAGUCGCGUGUGAAAUCCCUUGGCUCAACCAAGGAAGUGCGCGCGAAACUGGCGAGCUCGAGUGCCGGAGAGGGUCGCGGAAUUCCCGGUGUAGAGGUGAAAUUCGUAGAUAUCGGGAGGAACACCAGUGGCGAAGGCGGCGACCUGGACGGACACUGACGCUGAGACGCGAAAGCGUGGGUAGCAAACAG
rnacentral:rRNA from 1 species